CGGCAGCACGGGGGCAACCCUGGUGGCGAGUGGCGAACGGGUGAGUAAUACAUCGGAACGUGUCCUGUAGUGGGGGAUAGCCCGGCGAAAGCCGGAUUAAUACCGCAUACGCUCUACGGAGGAAAGGGGGGGAUCUUGGGACCUCUCGCUACAGGGGCGGCCGAUGGCAGAUUAGCUAGUUGGUGGGGUAAAGGCCUACCAAGGCGACGAUCUGUAGCUGGUCUGAGAGGACGACCAGCCACACUGGGACUGAGACACGGCCCAGACUCCUACGGGAGGCAGCAGUGGGGAAUUUUGGACAAUGGGCGCAAGCCUGAUCCAGCAAUGCCGCGUGUGUGAAGAAGGCCUUCGGGUUGUAAAGCACUUUUGUCCGGAAAGAAAUCCUUUGGCCUAAUACGUCGGGGGGAUGACGGUACCGGAAGAAUAAGCACCGGCUAACUACGUGCCAGCAGCCGCGGUAAUACGUAGGGUGCAAGCGUUAAUCGGAAUUACUGGGCGUAAAGCGUGCGCAGGCGGUUCGCUAAGACAGAUGUGAAAUCCCCGGGCUUAACCUGGGAACUGCAUUUGUGACUGGCGGGCUAGAGUAUGGCAGAGGGGGGUAGAAUUCCACGUGUAGCAGUGAAAUGCGUAGAGAUGUGGAGGAAUACCGAUGGCGAA
rnacentral:rRNA from 1 species